UAUAAUAGGCAUCCUUUAUAUUUUAUUUUAUGCAUUUAAAGUAUUAUUCUAAGAAGGGGUCCACAGCCUUCACCAGACUGGCUUCCCAAGGAGACUUGACACAGAGUGAAGAACUUCCUGCUCCAGUCUAACCUCUUCAUUUUAUUAAAGAAACAUGUGUAGUGUCACUCUCAGGGUCGUGGUGCACUGGAAAGAAUGUUAUACCAGGAGUCAAGGGGACCUGUUUCUUGCCCUGACUGCCCCUCAGUAGUCUGGCUGUGCUCCACCCUGCAGAGCACCCAGAGGAGCCCCAUGCAGGAUGGGGAAGGGCCAUGAGUCCAUGCCACAGGAGAACAGGCUGAAGCUAAUGGGGUCGUUUCUUCUAGAGGAGAGUCAGGAGGGACUGAGAGCAGUCCACAAGGAUCUGAAGGACUGUCCAGGGGAGGAGAUACUACCUAGACUCGUUUUGUUUGGUUCCACAGCCUCGAACCAGGAACAGUGGAUCGAAGUUUCAAACAGACUAAUUUGGGCUUAAUGUCAGGGAGGGGAACCUUCCUAACAAACAGUGAAAUGGGCUGCGUUGACAGGGGGUGGGCUCCCCAUCCUUAGAAGUCUGCAAGUAGAGGCUGGAUGGCCACUUGUCAGAUAUGUUCUAGUGGGGAUUCCUUUUGUGAGUGGCUUGGGCUAGAGGGUCAUGGAGGCCCCCGCCAGCUCUCAGAUUCUAAGAUUAAAUGAGUAAUGUAAAAAAUUGCAAUUAAGUUUGUAGCCGUUCAAGAUCUUCUGUAAGACAGACAAGAUGCCACUAAUAUUUGACUUCUACUAUGAUGAAUAACAGUCUUAGUUAAGUUUAAUGGACGAAGUGUUGGGGCAAGUGUAACAAAUUAGCAAAAAAGUACUAUAGGAAGGUUUAAAGCAGUAUAUGAAGACCGAAUAGAAUAGCAAACAUCAUAAACAUAGGUCCAAAGGGCAGACAGGCACUCAGAUGGACAAGGGUCUUGGCUGACCCCUGCCGGUGAAUAAUAGUAACAAUAUUUAGUAUUUUGCCACCUAGUUGGUAACGAAAUUUUGUUCAGUGUUAGAACUUGGAUGCUAUUUUCUUAAAACAGUUGUAUGAAAAUAAGAAAUAAAGCACCUGUUAUAUAUGAAAAAAAAACAGAAAUAAUUUGUUCUGGUUUGUUCGUUUUGGUCUGUACCUGUGAUUUCAGGAAAUGGUGAUUUAAAGUUUUAGAGUUAUCUUGGACACUUAAGAGAGAAAGGCCUUGCCCAGGGUUACUCAGCCAGGAUGUCAGAGACGAGACUUGAACCUAGGUCAUCUAUACUCAGAGACCAGAUGUCUAUCCAGCAUGUCACAUUGCCUCUAGAGGGCGAUAGGACUUAGUGCAGGGGUGGGGAACCUGUGCCCUCAAGGCUAUGUGGGUCCUUUGACAGAAUCUAAACUUCACAGAAUUUGUUCUGUGAAUGUUAAUGUGUUCUGUGAACAUUCUGUAAAGUUUGGAUUCUGUCAAAGGGCCCCACCCAAGAACCUAGAGGGCCACAGGUUCCCCACCCCUGACCUGGUGUAUAUGACGGCGGACAAAGAUAGUAAUUUAGGAAAAUAGAAUGUUUCUUAGGUAGUAUCAGGUUGGACAGGUACUUUUUGUCACAUUCAGUAGUUGAACAGAAUGUAACCUGCAGAAAGGAUAACUAUCUCUUUUCUAAACUGUGGUUUGGUUCAAAGGUCUCAUUGAAGACAUAUUCUA